rnacentral:rRNA from 1 species
GGACUACUGGGGUAUCUAAUCCUGUUUGAUCCCCACGCUUUCGCACCUCAGCGUCAGUGUCGAGCCAGGAGGCCGCCUUCGCCACCGGUAUUCCUCCAUAUAUCUACGCAUUUCACCGCUACACAUGGAAUUCUACCUCCCUCUCUCGCACUCCAGUCGGCCAGUAUCAACUGCAGUUCCCAGGUUGAGCCCGGGGCUUUCACAGCUGACUUAACAAACCGCCUACGCGCGCUUUACGCCCAGUAAUUCCGAUUAACGCUCGCACCCUCCGUAUUACCGCGGCUGCUGGCAC